UUACGGACAUAUCGCCCUGAGACAGCGGUUCCUGUACGAUCACCAAAGUUAAGCAACGUCGAGCCUAGUCAGUACCAAGAUAGGUACCGCUUUGGAAUACCAGGUGCUGUAAG